rnacentral:rRNA from 1 species
CAGAGGGGGCAAGCGUUAUUCGGAAUUAUUGGGCGUAAAGGACGCGUAGGCGGCUUUGCAAGUGACGGGUGAAAUCCCUCGGCUUAACCGAGGAACUGCCUGUCAAACUGCAUGGCUUGAGACCAGGAGAGGUGAGUGGAAUUCCCAGUGUAGCGGUGAAAUGCGUAGAUAUUGGGAGGAACACCAGUGGCGAAGGCGGUUCACUGGACUGGUACUGACGCUGAUGCGCGAAAGCGUGGGGAGCAAACAGGAUUAGAUACCCUGGUAGUUCACGUCGUAAACGAUGAGUGCUUGGUGUAGCGGGUAUCGACCCCUGCUGUGCCGAAGUCAACACAUUAAGCACUCUGCCUGGGGAGUACGGUCGCAAGGCUG